rnacentral:rRNA from 1 species
CCUACGGGAGGCAGCAGUGGGGAAUAUUGGGCAAUGGGCGCAAGCCUGACCCAGCAACGCCGCGUGAAGGAAGAAGGCUCUCGGGUUGUAAACUUCUUUUAUCAGGGACGAAGAAAGGGACGGGACCGGAUGAAUAAGCAACGGCUAACUACGUGCCCGCAGCCGCGGGAAUACGGAGGUGGCAAGCGUUAUCCGGAUUUACUGGGUGUAAAGGGCGUGUAGGCGGGAAAGCAAGUCAGAGGUGAAAACCAGGGGCUCAACCUGUGGCCUGCAUUUGACACCGUUUUUCUUUAGUACUGGAGAGGCCGACCGAAUUCCUAGUGUAGCGGUGAAAUGCGUCGAUAUUAGGAGGAACACCCGUGGCGACGGCGGUCUGCUGGACUGCACCUGACGCUGCUGCGCGCAAGCGUGGGGAGCAAACAGGAUUAGAUACCCUGGUAGUC